rnacentral:tRNA from 1 species
UGCAGUCGCGUGUUCCUGUUAAAAGAAGCGACUGUAAAUCUGCUGAAGGUUUUCUACGUAGGUUCAAGAACUCAGAGGAAAA